UACGUAGGGGCCGAGCGUUGUCCGGAAUUAUUGGGCGUAAAGAGCUCGUAGGCGGUUUGUCGCGUCGACUGUGAAAACCUACAGCUUAACUGUGGGCUUGCAGUCGAUACGGGCAGACUUGAGUUCGGUAGGGGAGACUGGAAUUCCUGGUGUAGCGGUGAAAUGCGCAGAUAUCAGGAGGAACACCGGUGGCGAAGGCGGGUCUCUGGGCCGAUACUGACGCUGAGGAGCGAAAGCGUGGGGAGCGAACAGG
rnacentral:rRNA from 1 species